rnacentral:rRNA from 1 species
AGAGUUUGAUUCUGGCUCAGGAUGAACGCUAGCGACAGGCUUAACACAUGCAAGUCGAGGGGCAGCAUGAUUUGUAGCAAUACAGAUUGAUGGCGACCGGCGCACGGGUGAGUAACGCGUAUGCAACUUACCUAUCAGAGGGGGAUAGCCCGGCGAAAGUCGGAUUAAUACCCCAUAAAACAGGGGUCCCGCAUGGGAAUAUUUGUUAAAGAUUCAUCGCUGAUAGAUAGGCAUGCGUUCCAUUAGGCAGUUGGCGGGGUAACGGCCCACCAAACCGACGAUGGAUAGGGGUUCUGAGAGGAAGGUCCCCCACAUUGGUACUGAGACACGGACCAAACUCCUACGGGAGGCAGCAGUGAGGAAUAUUGGUCAAUGGCCGAGAGGCUGAACCAGCCAAGUCGCGUGAAGGAAGAAGGAUCUAUGGUUUGUAAACUUCUUUUAUAAAGGAAUAAAGUCGGGUAUGGAUACCCGUUUGCAUGUACUUUAUGAAUAAGGAUCGGCUAACUCCGUGCCAGCAGCCGCGGUAAUACGGAGGAUCCGAGCGUUAUCCGGAUUUAUUGGGUUUAAAGGGAGCGUAGAUGGAUGUUUAAGUCAGUUGUGAAAGUUUGCGGCUCAACCGUAAAAUUGCAGUUGAUACUGGAUAUCUUGAGUGCAGUUGAGGCAGGCGGAAUUCGUGGUGUAGCGGUGAAAUGCUUAGAUAUCACGAAAAAACUCCGAUUGCGAAAGGCAGCCUGCUAACCUGCAACUUGACUUUGAGGCUCGAAAGUGUGGGUAUCAAACAGGAUUAGAUACCCUGGUAGUCCACACGGUAAACGAUGAAUACUCGCUGUUUGCGAUAUACAGCAAGCGGCCAAGCGAAAGCGUUAAGUAUUCCACCUGGGGAGUACGCCGGCAACGGUGAAACUCAAAGGAAUUGACGGGGGCCCGCACAAGCGGAGGAACAUGUGGUUUAAUUCGAUGAUACGCGAGGAACCUUACCCGGGCUUAAAUUGCAGAUGAAUUACGGUGAAAGCCGUAAGCCGCAAGGCAUCUGUGAAGGUGCUGCAUGGUUGUCGUCAGCUCGUGCCGUGAGGUGUCGGCUUAAGUGCCAUAACGAGCGCAACCCUUGUUGUCAGUUACUAACAGGUUUCGCUGAGGACUCUGACAAGACUGCCAUCGUAAGAUGUGAGGAAGGUGGGGAUGACGUCAAAUCAGCACGGCCCUUACGUCCGGGGCUACACACGUGUUACAAUGGGGGGUACAGAGGGCCGCUACCACGCGAGUGGAUGCCAAUCCCAAAAACCUCUCUCAGUUCGGACUGGUGUCUGCAACCCGACUCCACGAAGCUGGAUUCGCUAGUAAUCGCGCAUCAGCCACGGCGCGGUGAAUACGUUCCCGGGCCUUGCACUCACCGCCCGUCA